AGUCGAGGGGUAUGUGGCUUCGGCCACAGAGACCGGCGCACGGGUGCGUAACGCGUAUGCAAUCUGCCUUACACUAAGGGAUAGCCCAGAGAAAUUUGGAUUAAUACCUUAUAGUAUAUUGGAGGGACAUCCCUUUAUUAUUAAAGAUUUAUCGGUGUAAGAUGAGCAUGCGUCCCAUUAGCUAGUUGGUAUGGUAACGGCAUACCAAGGCUAUGAUGGGUAGGGGUCCUGAGAGGGAGAUCCCCCACACUGGUACUGAGACACGGACCGGACUCCUACGGGAGGCAGCAGUGAGGAAUAUUGGACAAUGGGCGCAAGCCUGAUCCAGCCAUGCCGCGUGCAGGAUGAAGCAUCUAUGGUGUGUAAACUGCUUUUGUACGGGAAGAAACACCUCUACGUGUAGAGGCUUGACGGUACCGUAAGAAUAAGGAUCGGCUAACUCCGUGCCAGCAGCCGCGGUAAUACGGAGGAUCCAAGCGUUAUCCGGAAUCAUUGGGUUUAAAGGGUCCGUAGGCGGCUUUAUAAGUCAGUGGUGAAAUCCGGCAGCUCAACUGUCGAACUGCCAUUGAUACUGUAGGGCUUGAAUUAUUGUGAAGUAACUAGAAUAUGUAGUGUAGCGGUGAAAUGCUUAGAUAUUACAUGGAAUACCAAUUGCGAAGGCAGGUUACUAACAUUACAUUGACGCUGAUGGACGAAAGCGUGGGGAGCGAACAGGAUUAGAUACCCUGGUAGUCCACGCCGU
rnacentral:rRNA from 1 species